rnacentral:rRNA from 1 species
AUUGAACGCUGGCGGCAUGCCUUACACAUGCAAGUCGAACGGUAACGGGCCUUCGGGUGCCGACGAGUGGGGAACGGGUGAGUAAUACAUCGGAACGUGCCCGAUCGUGGGGGAUAACGAGGCGAAAGCUUUGCUAAUACCGCAUACGAUCUACGGACGAAAGAAAGGGACCGCAAGGUCUUGCGCGGACGGAGCGGCCGAUGGAGUUGAAGGCGGUUGGUGGGAUAAAAUCUUUCCGAGCAGAAGAUCUGUAGCUGGUCUGAGAGGAUGAUCCCCCAUAGUGGCACUGAGACGCGGCCCACACCCAUGCGGGAGGGAGGAGGGGGGAAUUUUGGAAAAUGGGCGCAAGCGUGAUCGAGCCACGCCGCGUGCAGGAUGAAGGCCUUCGGGUUGUAAACUGCUUUUGUACGGAACGAAAAGCCUUCUUUUAAUACAGGAGGGUCAUGACGGUACCGUAAGAAUAAGCACCGGCUAACUACGU